rnacentral:rRNA from 1 species
CAACGGAUCUCUUGGCUCUCGCAUCGAUGAAGAACGCAGCGAAUCGCGAUACGUAUUACGACUUGCAGACGUGAAUCAUUAAUCUUUGAACGCACAUUGCGCCUUGGAGCAUUCUCCAAGGCAUGCCUGGGUGAGCGUCGGCUAUUCUCAGACCCCCCAGGUCUGGUUUUGUCGCCCAAACUCCACAAUCAAGAUUUUUCUCUUGACCUCAUCCAGGUAGGACUACCCGCUGAACUUAAGCAUAUCAAUAAGCGGAGGAAAAGAAACCAACAGGGAUUGCCCCAGUAACGGCGAGUGAAGCGGCAAAAGCUCAAAUUUGAAAUCCCGCCCCCGCGGGAGUUGUAAUUUGAAGGCCAGCGGCAGCAUGUUCGGAAAACAAAGUCCAUUGGAACAUGGCGCCACGGAGGGUGACAGCCCCGUUAAAAAAACCGAAAUGCAUCUUCGCUGGCCAAAGAGUCGAGUUGUUUGGGAAUGCAGCUCUAACAGGUGGUAAAUCCCAUCUAAAGCUAAAUACCGGCGAGAGACCGAUAGCGAACAAGUACAGUGAUGGAAAGAUGAAAAGCACUUUGAAAAGAGAGUGAAACAGUACGUGAAAUUGCUGGGAGGGAAGGGCUUGCAAGCAGACACGGGAGUAAAAAACCCGGGCCAGCAUCAGGUGGAGCGGCGG